rnacentral:rRNA from 1 species
CGUCAGGACGAACGCCUGGCGGCGUGCCUAAUACAUGCAAGUCGAACGGUCUUUCUAUGGAAGCUUGCUUCCACUGAGAAGAUAGUGGCGAACGGGUGAGUAACACGUGGGUAACCUGCCCAUAAGAGGGGGAUAACAUCCGGAAACGGGUGCUAAUACCGCAUAGUUUUCUUGAUCGCAUGAUCGGGAAAGGAAAGACGGCCUUUGUGCUGUCGCUUAUGGAUGGACCCGCGGCGUAUUAGUUAGUUGGUGAGGUAACGGCUCACCAAGACGAUGAUACGUAGCCGACCUGAGAGGGUGAUCGGCCACAUUGGGACUGAGACACGGCCCAAACUCCUACGGGAGGCAGCAGUAGGGAAUCUUCCGCAAUGGACGAAAGUCUGACGGAGCAACGCCGCGUGAGUGAAGAAAGGUUUUCGGAUCGUAAAACUCUGUUGUCAGAGAAGAACAAGUUGGAGAGUAACUGCUCCAGCCUUGACGGUAUCUGACCAGAAAGCCACGGCUAACUACGUGCCAGCCGCUGC